AUUGAACGCUAGCGGGAUGCUUAACACAUGCAAGUCGAACGGAGUGGCGGACGGGUGAGUAAUAUAUCGGAACGUGCCCUGUAGCGGGGGAUAACUACUCGAAACAGUGGCUAAUACCGCAUACCAUUAGAGCGGCCGAUAUGGGAUUAGCUAGUUGGUGGGGUAAAGGCUCACCAAGGCAACGAUCCGUAGCUGGUUUGAGAGGAUGAUCAGCCACACUGGAACUGAGACACGGCCCAGACUCCUACGGGAGGCAGCAGUGGGGAAUUUUGCACAAUGGGGGAAACCCUGAUGCAGCCAUCCCGCGUGUAUGAUGAAGGCCUUCGGGUUGUAAAGUACUUUUAGCAGGGAAGCGGUAUCUGCAGAAUAAGCACCGGCUAACUACGUGCCAGCAGCCGCGGUAAUUC
rnacentral:rRNA from 1 species